CUUGCUCGUUGUAUCUGCUUUUGACUCUCUUCCCAUUGAGCAUAUUUUAUCCAAUUUGAAAUCACCAUACGAUUUUUACGAAUGUUAUCUUCAAAAGCUUUACGUUUCCGAUGUUGAUAAUCAGCUAACUCAUGAGGAUCAGAAAUCUUUUGUUUUGGUGGCUGAAGUAAUAGAAAUUGGUGGUAAGAUUUCUAGGUCCCGUUCUUUUGCCUCCCGCAAAAGUUGCUCUGCUGUUAUUUGAAUUUCAGCAGGUGCUUUAUUUUUAAC
rnacentral:misc_RNA from 1 species